rnacentral:rRNA from 1 species
AGGCGACGACGGGUAGCCGGCCUGAGAGGGUGUCCGGCCACACUGGGACUGAGAUACGGCCCAGACUCCUACGGGAGGCAGCAGUGGGGAAUAUUGCACAAUGGGCGCAAGCCUGAUGCAGCGACGCCGCGUGGGGGAUGACGGCCUUCGGGUUGUAAACCUCUUUCACCAUCGGCGAAGCCGGAUGCUUUUGUGUCUGGUGACGGUAGGUGGAGAAGAAGCACCGGCCAACUACGUGCCAGCAGCCGCGGUAAUACGUAGGGUGCGAGCGUUGUCCGGAAUUACUGGGCGUAAAGAGCUCGUAGGUGGUUUGUCGCGUUGUCCGUGAAAUUCCCUGGCUUAACUGGGGGCGUGCGGGCGAUACGGGCAGACUGGAGUACUGCAGGGGAGACUGGAAUUCCUGGUGUAGCGGUGGAAUGCGCAGAUAUCAGGAGGAACACCGGUGGCGAAGGCGGGUCUCUGGGCAGUAACUGACGCUGAGGAGCGAAAGCGUGGGGAGCGAACAGGAUUAGAUACCCUGGUAGUCCACGCCGUAAACGGUGGGUACUAGGUGUGGGUUUCCUUCCUUGGGAUCCGUGCCGUAGCUAACGCAUUA